rnacentral:rRNA from 1 species
UACAGAGGUCCCAAGCGUUGUUCGGAUUUACUGGGCGUAAAGGGUGCGUAGGUGGUUUGAUAAGUCUGACGUGAAAUCUCCGGGCCUAACCCGGAAACUGCGUUGGAUACUAUUAGGCUAGAGGAAUGGAGGGGAGACUGGAAUACUUGGUGUAGCAGUGAAAUGCGUAGAUAUCAAGUGGAACACCAGUGGCGAAGGCGAGUCUCUGGACAUUUCCUGACACUGAGGCACGAAAGCCAGGGGAGCAAACGGG